rnacentral:rRNA from 1 species
AGCAGCCGCGGUAAUUCCAGCUCCAAUAGCGUAUAUUAAAGUUGUUGCAGUUAAAAAGCUCGUAGUUGAAUUUCGGGAUCAAUAUGUCGGUCGUGCCAUCGGUACGUACUGGUAUCAUUGGUUUCUCCUUUCUGACGAACCAUGAUGUCAUUAAUUUGGUGUUAUGGGGAGUUAGGACUGUUACUUUGAAAAAUUAGAGUGUUUAAAGCAGGCUUUAGCUUGAAUACAUUAGCAUGGAAUAAUGAAAUAGGACGUUCGAACCUAUUUUGUUGGUUUCUAGGAUCAACGUAAUGAUUAAUAGGGAUAGUUGGGGGCAUUAGUAUUCAAUUGUCAGAGGUGAAAUUCUUGGAUUUAUUGAAGACUAACUACUGCGAAAGCAUUUGCCAAGGAUGUUUUCAUUAAUCAAGAACGAAAGUUAGGGGAUCGAAGACGAUCAGAUACCGUCGUAGU